UUCUAUAGUUAUUUUUAAACGUGCAUAAAUAUAUGCAAGAUAACACACACGCACAUACUCAUACACACACACAAAUACGGUUAGACCGUAUCCGAAUCUGACUCGGCAAAACCCAAACACCCUGAAAAAACAAACAAAUUUGUUCGUCGAUAUUAACUAAUUUCUAAUAAUUUUAGCCUUUCCUAUUUUUUUUAAUUGGAACUACAUGAAAGAGGCUACGGAUGAAGAAAUAGUAAAUACAUUGAAGGAUUUGAUGUUGGUUUUUAGCAGGUUGGGUAUUCAUUAGUUUAAAUGUAGUUUAUUUAUGUAUCUUUUUUUGCAUAAAUUCAAACAUCAUGGAUAUAAAUUGUUGUCAUGAAUCUUUCCAUUUACGUUCUCUCAUGGUCCAGUUCUUCACAGAUGUUAUUAGUUUGGUGGAUGGGAGGAACAAUAUUGUUAUUUCUUUUGGGUGUGAAAAGCUUAAAAGCACCAGAAGAGCAUAUUAGCCUGGUCAUGCCUAAUUCAUCUAGCAUAGGUGCGAUGUAAUUAGGGGAGAGUGCCUAAGCUUGACAAAAAGAUCAUUAAGAAGCGGGUCAAGGAAUUCAAGAGGCCCCAAAGUUACUGGAAAAUAUGUGAUAAGAAAUAUAUUUGCAAUGUUAUUUAAAGGUUGAUAUCGGUUACGGGUCAGACAAAAAGACCCGUCUUAUUCUUCCAUAUGGUUUUUUCCGGCAUUUGAAUAGUAGUCAAAAUGGCAACAAAAGGUAACAUCCUUUUUUCAGACAAAGAUGGGAAUGUAACGAGUAAAACAACAAAUGUAGUCUACAAGGAAGUUUUUUCCGGCAUUUGAACAGUUUUCUGUUUUUUUUUUCUUCCAAUGUAUGUAUUUGUACAGAACAUUUCAUUUCAAAGUAAAUAAUAUGGUUUUGGUUGAAGCCCGCGUAUUACGCGGGCAUUAACCUAGUUUUACA